AUUGAACGCUGGCGGCAGGCCUAACACAUGCAAGUCGAGCGGGGUUUUCGGACCUAGCGGCGGACGGGUGAGUAAUGCGUAGGAAGCCGCCCGAUAGAGGGGGAUACCAGUUGGAAACGACUGUUAAUACCGCAUAAUGUCUACGGACCAAAGUGUGGGACCUUCGGGCCACAUGCUAUCGGAUGCGCCUACGUGGGAUUAGCUAGUUGGUGAGGUAAUGGCUCACCAAGGCGACGAUCUCUAGCUGGUUUGAGAGGAUGAUCAGCCACACUGGAACUGAGACACGGUCCAGACUCCUACGGGAGGCAGCAGUGGGGAAUAUUGGACAAUGGGCGCAAGCCUGAUCCAGCCAUGCCGCGUGUGUGAAGAAGGCCUUCGGGUUGUAAAGCACUUUCAGCGAGGAGGAGGGGUGGUGUGUUAAUAGCACAUCAUUUUGACGUUACUCGCAGAAGAAGCACCGGCUAACUCUGUGCCAGCAGCCGCCGUAA
rnacentral:rRNA from 1 species